CCCGCCCUGGAGAUAGGAGCUGUGACACAGCCAGAGCUAUACGGAGCGUAUCGGGGACCCCCUGCUACGGGGGCCGGGACCCCCGCCUCCUACAGCCUGAGUCCAGCUGUGUGCCAGCCCCUUCAGCUGUAGGAGCUGGGUCCUCGGCCAUAGGGACCUCCCUGUGCAGCAAUAGGGGUUGGGGCAUUGGCUGGGCCCCAGUUGUAGGGGAGGGGAAUGGGGGUCAGCCCGUCUGUGGGAGCUGGAGGAGAGGGUGGUGGUGCUGUGCCCUUGUCACAGGUAUAGGGCCUGAGCACAGUGCCAAGCUAUUGGGGGAGAGCCGGCAAGGGGGUACCCCUGUGCCUUUAUGCUGUGAUAUAGAGUUAAUUCAGAGUUAAUUUAUUCCCAGACAGGCUGAGGAGCUGCUGCUGUAUGGACAGAAAGGGAUGCUGGGGUGCUCUGAAGACCAGCACGUGCUGCAUAGCCGUGCUUCCAUCACACAAUGGGGCGCAGGCCAAGGAGCUGCAAGCUGCAGACUGAAGGACUGAACGAGUCAUUCCCUGGAUCCUGUGCAAGCAUUCCAGCCACAUCCCGGCGUCCUCGGGUCCCUGCAUGGCAGCACAGGUGUGAAUCCAGCAGCUUCGGGCAGGAGAGCAAGGGUUUGUGCUGGGUGCCUGGAGGAGCCAACAUCUCUGCUGGAAGACGCUGGGGCGAGCAGCACCGGGCACUCUCCUGCUGGGACAGGCACGGGGAGGGGGCACCCAGGGCAGCGGCCCGAGCCCACCCAGCUGCUGGGGGAGCUGGGACCGGGGACUGGCGGAGCCCACGAGCGCAGCGAGGUGGCCACCAGGUGGCACCAGGCUCCCGCUCACCCCCUCCAUCCCCAUCCCCUCCUGCUCUCCCCCAGCACCCCGCUUCCAGCCGGGGGUGCGAGCUGGGGGUCUCAAAGGGGCCUAGGGGCACCUUGAGUAGAGCCCUGAGACAUUUCCCCGGGAUGCCGACCCAGCCUGGAUCUGUGCCCUUCCCUGUCCCACUCUCCCCUGUCCCCAGACCUGCUGUGGUCAUCGCUGUGGCCUCGCUGCUGCUGGAGCAUCCUCCCCCCCGUUCCCGUGCCUGGAGCCCAUCCCGGCCCGCUGUGUGGCUGCAGUCAGCCCCCUCCAAGGCCAAUCUCUGGGUUAUCUAAUGCCUGUCACACAGCACAUAAAUGUCACUCCACCUGGGGGAGCAAGGCGUGCAGGGAGGGGAGAGCUGUGAGAGAAGGGGCAGGAGAACCAGGAGCAAAACAGUAUCGAUUGCUAGCCAAUUAUCCCUGUUAUCCAAGCAGCACAAUUAAAGGACGACGACAGAUUUCCGUGGCUUUCCAGCUUGGCUGUGCACCCAGAAGCACACACACAAGGCUCUCACAUCUGCGCACGCGUAGCCCAUGCACACACACACACACACACACACACAGCCCGGUGCGUGCAUCCUCCGCUCGGCCGUGCCCGCUGAGCUUGUUUUCCCAGCAGAGUUAAUCUCCGCGGCCGCUUUCUGCGCAGCAAGAUGUGCUUCCAUCUGGCUCCCGCUGAGCUCAGGGGGCAGCUGCAAAGCUCUGCCUGGCCAGGAGCUGCGGCCGUGGCACCGUGGCCCUUUCUCAUCCUUUUUUCUCCCUCUUUUCCCCAUUGCUCAGCAGCGGGUGCUGCGCCCCGGGGCUCUCCCAGGCUGUCAGCAUAACAGGGCUCUUGUUCCCCAGCCCUUUUGCGGGAUGGCCGUGGGGGUAACGCAGCUCUGCUCCCAUCCCAUCACCGAUGGGAAGCGUUGGGGAACACUAAAUGCAAGCAGGGACCAAACUGUGGCUCAAAAGGCCUGCAAAGGACCGGUGCAGCAGCACGCGUUGCACAAGGAGAACGCACGCAGCGUGUGCCUGCCGAGCUGGGGGUGCUGCAUCCCAAAGCGAGGAGCGGGACCCUCCCCAACCCCCUGCCCCGUGCACCCCCCAAUGCUUCCUGUGCGGCCCCGCUGCCCCCAUCUCCCCCAGCUAACACAUUGACCCAGAGCCGCGCCAGCCCCUCACCGCUGUGACACACAUCUGGGGAAGAAAAGAGGGGGGGAGAGGCCGUCCAAAUCCUCUCAGUAGGUUCCGUGGGUCAGCAUCCCCUCUGUGAUCCACCACCUUCUCCUCGGCCGCCGCGCACAAAGCGCUC
ensembl:lncRNA